UAACACGUGGGUGACCUGCCCUGUACUUCGGGAUAAGCCUGGGAAACUGGGUCUAAUACCGGAUAUGACCUUCUCCUGCAUGGGGGUUGGUGGAAAGUUUUUGCGGUACAGGAUGGGCCCGCGGCCUAUCAGCUUGUUGGUGGGGUAAUGGCCUACCAAGGCGACGACGGGUAGCCGGCCUGAGAGGGCGACCGGCCACACUGGGACUGAGACACGGCCCAGACUCCUACGGGAGGCAGCAGUGGGGAAUAUUGCACAAUGGGCGAAAGCCUGAUGCAGCGACGCCGCGUGAGGGAUGACGGCCUUCGGGUUGUAAACCUCUUUCAGUAGGGACGAAGCGCAAGUGACGGUACCUACAGAAGAAGCACCGGCCAACUACGUGCCAGCAGCCGCGGUAAUACGUAGGGUGCGAGCGUUGUCCGGAUUUACUGGGCGUAAAGAGCUCGUAGGCGGUUUGUCACGUCGUCUGUGAAAACCCGAGGCUUAACCUCGGGCCUGCAGGCGAUACGGGCAGACUUGAGUACUGUAGGGGAGACUGGAAUUCCUGGUGUAGCGGUGGAAUGCGCAGAUAUCAGGAGGAACACCGGUGGCGAAGGCGGGUCUCUGGGCAGUAACUGACGCUGAGGAGCGAAAGCGUGGGUAGCGAACAGGAUUAGAUACCCUGGUAGUCCACGCCGUAAACGGUGGGUACUAGGUGUGGGUUUCCUUCCACGG
rnacentral:rRNA from 1 species